ACGCUCGACACCUACGGGGGGCAGCAGUGGGGAAUAUUGCACAAUGGGGGAAACCCUGAUGCAGCGACGCCGCGUGAGCGAAGAAGUAUUUCGGUAUGUAAAGCUCUAUCAGCAGGGAAGAAAGUGACGGUACCUGACUAAGAAGCCCCGGCUAACUACGUGCCAGCAGCCACGGUAAUCUGAGCGGGCUGGCAAGGC
rnacentral:rRNA from 1 species